rnacentral:rRNA from 1 species
AAAUUGAAGAGUUUGAUCAUGGCUCAGAUUGAACGCUGGCGGCAGGCCUAACACAUGCAAGUCGAACGGUAACAGGAAGAAGCUUGCUUCUUUGCUGACGAGUGGCGGACGGGUGAGUAAUGUCUGGGAAACUGCCUGAUGGAGGGGGAUAACUACUGGAAACGGUAGCUAAUACCGCAUAAUGUCGCAAGACCAAAGAGGGGGAUCUUCGGGCCUCUUGCCAUCGGAUGUGCCCAGAUGGGAUUAGCUUGUUGGUGGGGUAACGGCUCACCAAGGCGACGAUCCCUAGCUGGUCUGAGAGGAUGACCAGCCACACUGGAACUGAGACACGGUCCAGACUCCUA